CCCACAUUCUAUGUAAACAUUUUAAAUGGUCAAUGUUUUCAUCUAUUUCUGAUACCGGUAGGCUACAAAAAUAAAGACUGAUUUUAGGCUACCAUUUUAAAUGACUGAAUUACUUUCACGUUAAAACAUUCCACGUUCCACAUUCUAUUGCUUGCUUAGUAUUUAAAUGCGUCAGGUAGAAUUUCCAGGACAUUUGCGAAUUCUCGAGGCAUGGCAAUGUCAGACAAUCGAUUUUGCAGACGGGUCACUGAAAUUAGAGACAGGAUGAAUGCGCAAUGCAUUAGGAUUUUAAAUGAAGAUGUACCCGAAGAGAACUCUAUCCUGGAAAGCUUACAGGUAUUCCGGCAGCAAGAAGGUGCUAGGCCAUAUGGGAGGAGACGCGGCACAAGGCCUGGCGUAAGGCCACAGGAGGUGACUUUUAAAGUUUCGGUUCUGCGGAGCAACACAACUACCCGUUACAGCUCCAGAAAUGACGCCACCGAGGCCUGUAGGGUGGUAGUGCCUUUGGACCUCAGCCCUGGAGAAUUUCGUCAGGCACGGGGACAGUGUUCUGGACAAUGUUCCUGAAGUGCCUGACGAAUUUGACCUAUGCAGGGUCAAUGGGCAAAGGGAAGUUAUACGUUUGUCUGAAGACUGUCCCAUGGACAUCAGAAGAAGGGGAGCCUUAAUGAGAUCAAACCUCUACCUUCGG